rnacentral:rRNA from 1 species
CAAGUCGAACGGACUUGAAGGGCUUGCUCUUCAAGUUAGUGGCGAACGGGUGAGUAAUGCAUCGGAACGUACCGUGUGAUGGGGGAUAACUAACCGAAAGGUUGGCUAAUACCGCAUACGCCCUGAGGGGGAAAGAGGGGGAUCGCAAGGCCUCUUGUCAUACGAGCGGCCGAUGUCAGAUUAGCUAGUUGGUGAGGUAAAGGCUCACCAAGGCGACGAUCUGUAGCGGGUCUGAGAGGACGACCCGCCACACUGGGACUGAGACACGGCCCAGACUCCUACGGGAGGCAGCAGUGGGGAAUCUUGGACAAUGGGCGCAAGCCUGAUCCAGCAAUGCCGCGUGGGUGAAGAAGGCCUUCGGGUUGUAAAGCCCUUUUGUCAGGGAGCAAAUCCUUGGUGUUAAUACCGCCUGGGGAUGAGAGUACCUGAAGAAUAAGGACCGGCUAACUACGUGCCAGCAGCCGCGGU